rnacentral:tRNA from 1 species
GCCUGGGUGGCUCAGUGGGUUGAGCAUCCGACUUCGGCUCAGGUCAUGAUCUCACGGUUCAUGGGUUCGGGCCCCACUUCAGGCU